UACGUAGGUGGCAAGCGUUGUCCGGAUUUACUGGGCGUAAAGGGCGCGCAGGCGGUCCUUCAAGUCAGAUGUGAAAGCCCCGGGCUCAACCUGGGAACUGCAUUUGAGACUGGAGGACUUGAGGACGGGAGAGGAGAGUGGAAUUCCCAGUGUAGAGGUGAAAUUCGUAGAUAUUGGGAAGAACACCGAUGGCGAAGGCAGCUCUCUGGACCGUUACUGACGCUGAGGCGCGAAAGCGUGGGGAGCGAACAGG
rnacentral:rRNA from 1 species